GCAAUUGUAGGAUAGCUGACGGGACGUUUCAGAAAAUUUUGAAUACAGCGGACCUUAUAUUUUCCUCGUAAAUUUUUGCGACUGACUCUUGUGGUGAAAUGAACAUGCGUGCCGUAGUCUUCAUCAUGAGCAUUGUCUGUACAUCCAACUUCUUUGAUGUUCUACAGGCUAAACCCGCAAAUUUAAAACAGUUGAUACAACAGCUUGUCAAUGACCCAAGGGGCAGCAUGCCUGUGGCGAGAAGUUACGCCGCAUCUGACUUCUGUAUCGAGAAACAAUUAUCUGGAGCCGGGGACUUCUGUGUUGAAUUUGAGGCGGAAUGCCACGAGUUCUGUAAAAAAUAACAGCGUUCCAUAGAAAAUAACAGUGUUCAAUAGAAAAUAACAGUGUUCAAUAGACUAUCAGUGAACACACCAAAAGAUGCCAUGUCUAUAAGUGUGAUUUAAAUAGACAUAAGUGUUAAAAACAAAAACGUAACACAUUUUGAUUUGAUGGUUCAAAUUAAGGAAAUUAUUAUUGAUUUUUAUUUUUAGUUGGUUUUUAUUUAUCUUUCAGUAUAUUAUGUGGAAUAUACUAAUUAGAACUUUGGUUUGUCUAAUGAUAUAAUAAAUAUUCAGUGUUUGGGAAACUUAAUCUUAAAUGGAAGCAAGACUCCCCUCCACCGCACCC